rnacentral:SRP_RNA from 1 species
GCCAGGUGUGGUGGCACACGCCUGUAGUCCCAGCUACUUGGGAGGCUGAGGCAGGAGAAUCGCUUGAACCCAGGAGGUGGAGGUUGCAGUGAGCCAAGAUCGUGCCACUGCACUCUAACCUGGGCAACAGAGCGAGACUCUGUCUUAA